UCUCAUCUCUUCCCAGGGCCUGGUUUGGCCAGGCAUUUCCAAAGAGCAGCCCCUCUGCUGAGCAGACCCGACGGGCCUGAGGAGGUAGCACCAGGCAUGGCUGGGUGGCAGUUGGGACUCAUUAGUUGGGACUAAUCUGGAGAGGAGGGAGCCCUUUGAUCAGAGAGCAUCCGGAAGGUGGCCCGUUCUCCAGCUCUGGGCUGGAGGGGGCCGGCCCCCCCAAGACCGCUCGCACACUGAGCCCCAGGCCCGCGCUGGGGCUGCCCACACCUGGCCCCAGGGCCGAGGGGAACAAAUGAGGACAAAGUGAGGCCGGCCUCGUGCUUCGGACUCAGCUGCCCUCUUUACUGACAGGCCCACCCGUUCCUUGCGGCCGCCUCCAACCCUCUUGUUCCAAAUACCGCUUCUUUUGUGAAGUGCUGGUAACAGUACACGGUAGCUGAUGUUUUGUUUUUGUUUUCAAUGUUCUUUCUUGGCAAAAUAUACAGUUGGCCCCCUCUGACAGGAACUAAAGUUGAUUUUUGACAGUUUAAUUGUUUGCGAAAUCCACGGGCCCAGGACUUUUAGGGAUCCUCUCACUUAAUUCCCCCACACCCCCCAUGGAAGAAGGGAGGUCGCCGUGCCCAUUCGAGGGAUGGAGAAACUGCUGACGGGGAGGGACCGGCCCCCGAGCUCACCCCGGGGGUGGGGGUGGGGUCUCACCAGCCCCCCUUCCUACCCCCCGCCCUUCCCCCAAGACCAGCCACCCCUCUCCAGGAAGGGGGCCUUGUUCUCCCAUCAAGCCAGCACCAGAAGCGGUCACCCCAAGCCAGGGCUUCUCCCCGGCACCCCCUGAACCUGUGGCUGCCCCCCUCCAGCCUUCCCCCGGCUCCCUGGGUCAGGCCUCCCCAGACGCGUCCCUCCUGGCCCAGCCGGCCCUCGGGCCGCCCCUCCAGGACCAGGCUCUGGCCCACAGCCAUGGGGACUUGGCCUGGGCUGGUGAGCCAGGGGGGUCCCAGGCCACGCUGCCUGGGCUGCCGGCAGCCCACUGUCCUGAAAUGGCCCCGACCAAAGGGCCCCACGGCAGUUACUCAAUGACAAUGAGGACAAGUUGUUUGCCAUGGCCCCGGGCCAAGGGCUGGGACUGUGGCCUUGCCUCGCCUCCGCCUCCAGAGACAUCUGGGAAGGGGGUGUGGCCGCACAGGCCGCGGGCAGCUGCGUCUUCAGCUCUGCAGGGCCACCGCCCUGGUCAGGGGCCCCUCCCCAGGCUCCUCCAGGAAACGAAACUCUGCAGGUUGGCCGUCCCGGCCCCAGCGGAUCCCCUCACCCAAUUUCCCUAAAGUCCAGCCGGAUCCCAUCCUCCCCUGUGCUCCGGCCGUGCCCUCUGCCGGGAAAGCCUCACCUCCCACCAUGGCCACGGGAUCCAGAAACGGCUGCGGGUCCCAGUGCCCACAGCAACAGCAGCUCCUCCAGUGCCCGUCCAGUGUCCCCCAGGAGGGAGCCCCGGGAGCUCUCUCCAUGCUCUGAGUUCCUGUGACUCCCUCCUCAGAGCCUCAGUGUGUUCCUCUUUCUUUUAUUUUUAUUUUUAUUUAUUUAUUUAUUUUUUGCUCUUUAGGACCGCAGGUGCGGCAUAUGGAAGUUCCCAGGCUCAGGGUCACAUCGGAUCUACACCACAGCUCAUGGCAGCACCAGAUCCUUAACCCCACGAGCAAGGCCAGGGAUCGAAGCCACAUCCUCAUGGAUACUAGUUGGAUUCAUUUCCACUGAGCCACGACGGGCCCUCCAGAGCCUCAGUGCUUUCAUCUGUAAAACAGACAGAGUACAAGUGCCCAGCACAGCAGGUGGUAAGGACAGGACAAAUGAGACAGUUCCUGAAAAAUCCCAACUACUCACACUUGGUCGCUGCACAGGAAAGGCUACUUAGUAUCAUUGUUACUGUUAUGAGUGUCACUAUUAUUAUGGAUUUCCUACCAUUGCUAUUAUUAUGAUUACUGGGUUUCCCCAUCAUGGGGGCAGGCGUUGCCCUUCUCCCGCCCACCCCACCAAAGCUGGUCUCCCCUGGGCUCUGCUGCACCCACCCACUUUCUCCACGCCCCACCUUCCCUGAGCAAUCCCACCCACCCCCAUGGCCUUGGCCACCACCCACGGCUGUCUCUGGGCCCACUGUCCCGGCUCCCUCAGGGCCUCAGCACUGCCAUGACCCCACCUCCUCCCGCCCCACAGAUUCUGCUGCUUGGGUGCUGGGAAAUCUUUUCCGCCCCAGAUGGUAGCAAAUCCUGUAUCCUGUAGGAAUGCCUUGGGCUGCAAAUAAUAGAAGUCCCAGUGAAUGGGGACUUAACCAAAGAGGGGUUUGUUUCUCCAGUGUCACAAGGAGCCUGGGUUCCCCUGCUGCUGGCACUGGUGCAACGCCCUAGACCCACCCCUGUUGAUUUCUCUUGACUUUGACCUCAUUGUUGCAAGACGGCUGCCCAAGCUCCAAACACCAAGUUCUCAGAGAGCAUCCAAAGGCAGGAAGCAGGGAGAGGUGCAGGGCGGGCUUUCCCCUUUACAUAUCUUCUCAUGUCACAUAUCUUCCCUUCCCAGGGGACAAAACCUUUCCCCAAACCCUCCAGGAGACAUCUCGAAUCUGGUCCCCUGCAUGUCACUGGCCAGACCUGACUCUCAGGGCCGCUCCUGGCCAGAAGACCAUUUCCUACCUGACGAAUGGCUCCACCAGGUGCCCAUCACCUGGGCCAGAACCCGGACCCUCCCACCUCCCCAUCCGUCCUUCCUUCUCCACACCCCGUCCUUCUUUCCUCCUGUCCUGGCCCCAGGCCCCUGUCUGCAGCCCACUGACCAGGAGGAGUGGGUUUUCUUUCUCCUCUUUUCUUUUUUUUUUUUUUUUUUUUUUUUUUUUAGGGCCACACUGCGGCAUAUGGAGGUUCCCAGGCUAGGGGUCUAAUCAGAGCUGUAGCCACCGGCCUACACCAGAGCCACAGCAACGCGGGAUCUGAGCCGUGUCUGUGACCUACACCACAGCUCACAGCAACGCUGGAUCCUUAACCCACUGAGCAAGGCCAGGGAUCCAACCCGCAUCUUCAUGGACACUGGGCAGGUUUGACACUGCUGAGCCAUGAGAAGUCGGCAGAGUGAUGUUUUUCAAUCCAGAUUUUUUUCAUGACUCCUGCACCGGUCCAGGCUAUCUUUCUUACCUACUCCUACUUUGCCAGUGGAAGCCUGCAGACUUAAAAUUCCCCCAGAUGCCACUCUAGAUGAAGUCCCAGGACGGCCUGAGGGAAUGGGGCCGUCAGCUGGGGGCGAGGUGGGAGCCAGCUGAGAGCAUUAGCACCACAAGGACACUGAGCGUGUUUCCAUGGGAACGAUGGCAUCCACCUGAUGGGCAAGGGAGCUGAGGUAUUGAUCUACCUGUUCCCAAGGCCAUGGCUGAGAUCUGCCGCGGGGGUGGGACAGGGCGGGGCCUUGGUUCUCUGGCGCAUCUGACCCAACCUGGUCCCUUGGGCAAAGGGAUGCAGGUGCCAGGGGGCAGUAGGACAGGGCGAGUGGAAUUCCCGUCCUGCAGUUGCCUGCCCAGCUCUCCCUCUACUCGCCUCUCAGGAUGGUCCCCUCCCCUCCCCCACCCACCCAACCCCCAGCCCCGCCCAGCCAGCCUCACCCCUUCUCCCCAAGCCCCAGGUCUACUCUGGCUUGAACCCUGGGUCAGUCUUUAACCUUCACCUUUGCUGGGGCUGCAGGCCUGGGGACCUACCCUGACCCUGGGGAGGGGAGGCAGGAGGGGAGAGGGGAAGGGGAGCCAGGAAGCACCAUCCCCGACCCCUGGGCACAGUCCCAGCCGGUCACCGGGGUGUCCCCUCCCUCCACUGGGAGCUGGGGAUGGAGCUGGAGUCUGUGGCCGAGCACAUUGGAGGAGGAGGAGCAGGAGGAAGCACAGGACAGCCCAGCCCAUCCUCAGAGCAUGUGAGACCACAGCCCUGAUGAGAUCUUGGAGCCACCAGGGCUGGGCUCGAACGCCCCAUCAGCUGUAGAACUCCACUGCAGGCACUCCUGCGGCCCUCAGUCUCCUCGUCAGGAGAAUGGGUUUGGUAACACCGCGGGCACAGGCGGGCUUCGAGGAAGGCAGGUGGUAUUCACACAUGGGGAAGGCAGGAAAGCCCGCGGCUCCUGGACCUGGGGGCGGGUUAACGAGGGAGGGGCCGCCCUAGCCAUCCCCCUCCAUCCCCCGCAGCCCACCACAGCUGCCCUGCCUCUCUUCAGCCUGCGAAGCCCAGCCCUGAUGGCAUCUCCGAGUGCCAGGCAGAGAGGGCCACCUCCUCCACCCCACGUGGCCCCGAUCUCAGGGGCUGUGGGCUGCGAGCAUCUGCGUCCUGGCCAGUCGCCCCACCAGACCGGCAGCUCCGCCAGGAAGGUCCAGAGCCUCCCCCUGGCCCCAACACUUGCCCAGGGCUCCAAGUGGGGGAGGGAGUGCCCCCUCCACCGCAGCCCCCCGGCCCCCACCCCCCUGUCCACGUUCUCCAACCCCUCCCUCAGGCCCCACCCCGCCUGGCAGCCUCAAGUCACAGUCCAAGCACAGACCCAGGGCAGGGAGCACCCAGGCUCUCGGGGGUUAAGGCAGCAGGGGAACCUGUGACAAGCGGGGCUGGGGUUUGCGGUGUGGCCUUUGAGGCCAUUCCCCAGAUUCCUCGUCUUCUCACUCAAGGUGAGAUCUGAGAGAUGGGACACCCCUUCGAGGCCAUCUGAGGUGGGAAGGUGGGGGCCCAGAGAGGGCAGAGCUGUGUCCGAGGUGGCACGGCCAGCUCACACCAGGCUGGGCACAGAGCCUGUGGCUCCCAGCCCGGGGGCCCCCUCCUCACCCCCACUCCAUGCGGCAAACCUCCAGGAGCAGAACCAGCCUUAGAGACUUCCCUGGGUGGUGAGAAGGAGCCGGGGGCUCCUGGGAGACCCACCAGCUCAGCAGUGCGCGCUGGGGGAAGGGCCCAUCACGUGUGGCUCGGGUCCCCGGAGAGAGGGUGGUCGCCUCCCCCCUUCUCCACGUGCCCCAGGCCCACCUAACUGACUCUGGGUGGUGGGAAGGCAGGGGGGACUGGCGCCUGCCCUAGCAGCAGAGGAAGGGCCGCAGGUGCAAGGACCCCCCCACCCCCCCACCCCUGAGGCCCUCCCCAUGCCCACCCCCUCUCCUGGGGUCCGAGGGCUGGUGGGGUCCAGAGCUGGCAGCAAUGUCCCCUGCCGGGUGGUGCCCAUGUGUGGGUUCGGGAUGACUGCAGCUCUCUGGGUGUCUCACUAACAGCCCCCUGGGGUGUGGGCCACUGCGGGCACCCGGGCCCACAAGGCAGAGGGUGGCAGCAGCGACUUGGGUGGAGGCGAGGCCGGGAAAGCCCCAGGCAGGGCUGGGUGGAUGACAGGCGGCCCAGCGCCCAGGCCGAGGACAGGACACUGUGUUUUGAUUAUUUCCAGUUUCCUGACCCCCAAGUCGUGAUUUAAUGUUCCUGUUUACUCCGAGGAUUAGAACAGAAGGCGAGACGGCGAGGCUGGCUUCCUCGGCCUCCCCCCGCGUCACCCCUAAAGUCCCAGCAGGGAAGGGCCUGAGGCAGCCAAGGGUCCCAGGGGAUGCUGGGGUCCCUAGGUACCUCAGGGACCUCGGAUGGGCUCAGGGCUGGCCCCUGAGCAGAGCAGGUCCAUUUGGGGCUUGGAGGGUGUGACCUGCCCACAGGAGGCAGGGCUGGGUGAGCCCGAGACUGUGGGGGUCGGGGCCCGGGGUCCACUUGCCCUGCUCCACCUGGUCAAGGGCAGAUGCUCCCACAUCCCUGGGCCUCCCCAGCAGUAUCUGCGGCUUGGACUUUGGCUGGGACCCUGUCCCCUCUCGGAGGCUGAGUACAUUUCAGGGACGCUCGGCAGCCAGAGCCAGAAGCCUGCGGCUGGCUGGGAGGGGCUCCAGAAGUUGUCAGCCCUGCUCCUCGCUCCCAUAGGGGCCAGCUUGUCAAGCCACCCGAAAUACAGCCACGCAGAGCAGCCUCUGAAGUUGCAGCUACAUAACGGCCGAGAAAAAGAGUUAUAAGCCCUCCGGGGUUGGGGGGGGUGUUUAUAUCAAUACAAGUUCAUGUCGUUGUGG
rnacentral:lncRNA from 1 species